UUGAACGCUAAGCACGAGGAUUUCAGCAAUUUUGAACAUUUGGAAAUGGAAAAAAAUAAUGAAUCACGCUCUAGUGAUCCUGCGUGUGAAAGGUUAAAUGAUCCUUCACCAAAGGCUUAUGUGCGUUGUGUGGUGUGUAAUGCCAAUUCUUGGUAUUUUCCUGAAAGAAAAUUCUUUCGGUUUCCUAAAAAUCCAGAGAGAUCAGCACAAUGGCUUGAAG